GAGGGCGAAUUUUGGGCAUGGGGUGGGAUUAAGGGCGAUAGGAAGAAAGAAAGUUGUGUCACAAUGUGUAUUUGAUUACUGUUAUCAUGGAGAAAAGGUCUCAUUGUUGCAGCACUCGUUUUCUUUGCUGAUGUUGUGCCUGUUUCCCGUUUACGGAGGGAAACACCCAGCAGCAGUGAUAAGACCACCCCAGCUACGCUGUCUGCAUACUACUUAUGCGUCAGUAUCACCAACCAGAUUUACACUGAGUCACUCAAUAAUCAAAGCUCUAAGGAGUACAAACAGCUGAGGAAACAGGUGGAACAGAUGAUGGAUGACGUCGACAGCUCUUUGCUAGAGUCUGACAAAUAUAUGGGUGUAUUUGAUAUAAUCUUCAGUAAUGGAUCAGUCAUUGCAAACUCAACAUUAAUGUUUGGGACUACAUUCAUGAUCAUUCCAACUUUAGCUAAAGGUCUACUUUCCAUUCAUAUCCAAUCAAAUAAAUCCAAAACCCUUGACCUGGACCUUGCCUAUACUGAAGGUCAACUUCCAAUAAAAGCCACACUACCUCUUGUAGCACGUACAACAGCAACCAUAACUUCCUCACCACCAUCUACCACAAAUACCCCUGCAGCAACGACUACUACAGUUGCCUUAGUUAGUACGGCUAGCCGUUCAGGAAGGGUUGGGAUGGAACUGCAUCUACAGCAAUGAUUUCAUCUGGCAACAUCACCAGUCUUGCAACAAUUAGUAUCACAAGUAGCCAUACCCUCACAAACACCACCACUAGUCCUGACCAAAAGAGCACAAUUAGCACUCCUAUUCCUGAAGAACAUAACACUACAAUUAGCAACAUUACCACUCAUAUUCCUGAAGAACAUAUCACUACAAUUAGCAGCAUUACCACUCAUAUUCCUGAAGACCAUAACAGUACAAUUAGCAGCAUUACCACUCAUAUUCCUGAAGACCAUAACAGUACAAUUAGCAGCAUUACCACUCAUAUUCCUGAAGACCAUAACAGUACAAUUAGCAGCAUUACCACUCAUAUUCCUGAAGACCAUAACAGUACAAUUAGCAGCAUUACCACUCAUAUUCCUGAAGACCAUAACAGUACAAUUAGCAACAUUACCACUCAUAUUCCUGAAGAACAUAUCACUACAAUUAGCAACAUUACCAUUCAUAUUUUUGAAGACCAAGACACUACAAUUAGCAACAUAACCACCCCUAUUCCUGGAGACCAUAACAUUACAAUUAGCAACAUAACCACCCCUAUUCCUGGAGACCAUAACAUUACAAUUAGCAACAUAACCACCCCUAUUCCUGGAGACCAUAACAUUACAAUUAGCAACACAUCCACCCCUGCUCCUGAAGACCACAACCUUACAAUUAGCAACAUAACCACCCCUAGUCCUGGGGACCCUAACAUAACAAUUAGCAACCUAAGCACCCAUAUUCCUGGAGACCAGAACAAUACAAUUAGCAACACAACCACCCCUAUUACCCCUAAAAAUCCUCCCCAGACCAGUAGCACGACAGUCUUCCGUAAACCCUCUCCAUCAACAACUGCCUCAGGCCAAUCUAACCCCCCAGUUGCCCCUACUGAGAGAGCAACAAGCAGGCAUCAGGCUGCCACAGGCCAAACGACCAGUCAUAAGACCACAGAGAAUACGGAGGCGACACAUAAGACCACAGAGAAUGCUGCAGCUGUAGUUGCUGGGGGCGGAGAAGGAGUCUCAGGAUUGGGGAUCGCUCUAUUGGUACUGGCUGUCCUGACCUUGUUAAUCCUCCUUAUUCUCCUAAUACUGCUGCUAGUGUGGUUGUGCUGUAGGCAGAGAUAUAGAAGUUUCAGCCCAUAUAACCAGAUCAACCACGGGGCAGACAUCCAAAUGUACUCCAAACACAGCCGCUACGACGUGCCCAACGGCAAGCCUAAUGACGAAAUGCGGGGACCAUCUGAAAAACCGAACAGGGAUGCAUGUGGUGAACGAGUACUGACACACAGAAGCUCCAGUCAAUUGGGUAAGAAGACCAUCUGAAAUGGCCUUAUGACGUAAUAUGCAUGGGAGCAAUGACGAUUCUGUACAAAUGGUCCAAUUAUCUCUGAAGUAUCUGAAUGAAGAUCAUGGCGUUGGCUCACUGAUUGUAAUUUCAACCUGUAUUUAUUCAAUUCAAUUCAAAUCAAAUCACAUUCAUUUAUAAAGCCCUUUUUACAUCAGCUGAUGUCACAAAGUGCUAUACAGAAACCCAGCCUAAAACCCCAAGCAGCAAGCAAUGCAGAUGUCCUAAUGUUAUUUUAUUCCUAAUGUUUUUACCAGUGGAGGCUGCUGAGGGGAGGACGGCUCAUAAUAAUAGCUGGAAUGAAGUCAAUGGAAUGGUAUCAAAGACAUGAAACACCUGGUUUCCAUGUGGUUGUUACCAUUCCAUUGACUCCAUUUGUAUUUCGUAUUAUUCUGUACGUAAAUCCGAGACACUCCAUUUAGUAUAUGUUACUCCUCCCCGACCAACCUCCCUACUUUAGUUUCUGUCUAAAGUAACCAGGCCUUUGAAAGGUAUCAUAUGGCUUGACGUGCUCAGAAAUACAUAAAUGAUGUUUCUAAUGGCUCUGAGGCCAGGUUAGCCAUUUUGGCUUCCUUGUGGUAAUGGGUUGAGUUGUAUUUUCAGUCUUUACUGAAGGCAAGCUUAACCUUUGUAAAAAAAAAAAAAGAAAUUGGAUCCUAGAUCAGUAAAUGGGGUCAAAAUAUGUAUCCCGCAAUUAACAUUUAAGAAGAAUGAGUAAGGGUGCCCCUAAGAACAAUAUCCAAUCAGGUACAGUUAACAAGAAGUUUGUUUUCAAAGACUAUAAAUCAAACCUUUUGACUUGGGCUGAGAGAUCCAGCUCUAAUUCCCUACUGCUGGAUAAGACAUGUUUUGAGAUAGGACACUAGCAUGCCAAGAAGUGAACUAUUCCGCAAACCCAACCCAGUGAGGAAAACACCAAUGUUAUGUAUAUUUGACAAUCUGAUUAAAUAAAUCCACCAUUAUUAAUCAAA